UACAGAGGUCCCAAGCGUUGUUCGUAUUCACUGGGCGUAAAGGAUGCGUAGGUGGCCGGGUAAGUUCGAUGUGAAAGCUCUGAGCUCAACUCAGAAAUGGCAUUGAAUACUAUCCGGCUGGAGGGUUGGAGGGGGGACUGGAAUUCUCGGUGUAGCAGUGAAAUGCGUAGAUAUCGAGAGGAACACCAGUGGCGAAGGCGAGUCCCUGGACGACUCCUGACACUGAGGCACGAAAGCUAGGGGAGCAAACAGG
rnacentral:rRNA from 1 species